UACGUAGGGUGCAAGCGUUGUCCGGAAUUAUUGGGCGUAAAGAGCUCGUAGGCGGUUCGUCGCGUCGGCUGUGAAAUCCCGAGGCUCAACCUCGGGUCUGCAGUCGAUACGGGCGGACUGGAGUUCGGCAGGGGAGACUGGAAUUCCUGGUGUAGCGGUGAAAUGCGCAGAUAUCAGGAGGAACACCGGUGGCGAAGGCAGGUCUCUGGGCAUUAACUGACGCUGAGGAGCGAAAGCAUGGGGAGCGAACAGG
rnacentral:rRNA from 1 species